rnacentral:rRNA from 1 species
CCUACGGGGGGCAGCAGUCGGGAAUAUUGCGCAAUGGAGGAAACUCUGACGCAGUGACGCCGCGUGCAGGAAGAAGGUUUUCGGAUUGUAAACUGCUUUAGACAGGGAAGAAAAAAGACAGUACCUGUAGAAUAAGCUCCGGCUAACUACGUGCCAGCAGCCGCGGUAAUACGUAGGGAGCAAGCGUUAUCCGGAUUUAUUGGGUGUAAAGGGUGCGUAGACGGAGAAGCAAGUUAGUUGUGAAAUCCCUCGGCUUAACUGAGGAACUGCAACUAAAACUACUUCCCUUGAGUACUGGAGAGGAAAGUGGAAUUCUUGGUGUAGGGGUAAAAUCCGUAGAGAUCAAGAGGAAUACUCAUUGCGAAGGCGACCUGCUGGAACAUUACUGACGCUGAUGCACGAAAGCGUGGGGAGCAAACAGGAUUAGAUACCCUUGUAGUC